GCGGAUGUGGUGGAAUUGGUAGACACGCUAGCCUUAGGAGCUAGUGCCGCAAGGCGUGGAGGUUCAAGUCCUCUCAUCCGUACCA
rnacentral:tRNA from 1 species